rnacentral:lncRNA from 10 species
AGGUGGAUCACUUGAGGCCAGGAGUUCAAGACCAGCCUGGACAACAUAGUCAGACUCCACCAAGACGGGGGUUGGGGGGGGAGAGAGAGAGAGGAGAGGAGAGAGAGAGAGGAGAGAGGAGGGAGAGAGGGAGAGGGAGAGAGAGAGAAAGAGAGAGAGAGAGAAAUGUCCUUGCCUAGUCUAGAGGGGCUUCAGGCACAGUUUGAUCAAGGGGCCCCAGUAUUCAGUCUCCUUCCCGGACUUAGCUCUGUUCUCCUCCCCUGGCUUCUGCCACAAGGCAGAUCUCAUACCAGUCCUUAGCAGAUCCCAGCUGGUAUUUCCCCAGGCUGGUGCUGCCUCCUCUGUAGUUCUGGACUAAGCCCCGGGGCUGGCUCUCAUCAGCCCACACUGAGUCAUGUCCUGUAGCAGCUGCUCAGAACCACAGACAUAUCUCCCUGUUUUGGGGCGUUCUCUCUGCCCAGAGCUAAGGUUCCUGGGAGUAGUCCUUUGUCAACGCUGGUUGAACAUGAGGGGAUAAAUACCCUAGCUUUUCUGAUCUCUGGGUGCGGCGAUUCUCAGCUGUUUUCUUUCUUUUUCCUUUUCUUUUUCUUUUUUUUUUUUUUCAGACAGAGUCUUGCUUUGUCACCCAGACUGGAGUCCUGUGGCACAAUCUCGGCUCACUGCAACCUCCCAGGUUCAACCUCCCAGGUUCAGAUGAUUCUCCUGCCUUAGCCUCCUAAGUAGCUGAAACCACAGGCCCUCACCACCACGCCUGGCUAAUUUUUGUAUUUUCUGUAGAGGUGGGGUUUCACCAUGUUGGCCAGGCUGGUCUCGAACUGACCUCAAGUGAUUUGCCCGCCUUGGCCUCCCAAAGUCCUGGGAUUACAGGCGUGAGCCACCGCGCCCGGCUGCCGGUGUCUUAUUGAGGCCAUCAGACAAUGCAAGAGUGCUGAGUCCCAGCACCCUGUCCUUGCAGUUUUACAAAUCUCUGAAUCUGCUACGAUCACUGCAUCCAUCUUCCAGAUGCAGUCACUGAGGUUCCAAAAAGUGAAGUUUCCUUUCCUGCCCGGGAUGACUAAGGACGCUCUAUCCCCAGGGGCAGCAGAAGAUCGGGCUGCCCUCUCC